rnacentral:rRNA from 1 species
GACGUAGGGCGCAAGCGUUGUCCGGAUUUAUUGGGCGUAAAGAGCUCGUAGGCGGCUUGUUGCGUCGACCGUGAAAACCCGUGGCUCAACUGCGGGCUUGCGGUCGAUACGGGCGGGCUAGAGUUCGGUAGGGGAGACUGGAAUUCCUGGUGUAGCGGUGAAAUGCGCAGAUAUCAGGAGGAACACCAAUGGCGAAGGCAGCACUCUGGGACGUGACUGACGCUGAGACGCGAAAGCGUGGGGAGCAAACAGG